GUGGGCGCUGGAGAACUGAGGGGGGCUGCUCCUAGUACGAGAGGACCGGAGUGGACGCAUCACUGGUGUUCGGGUUGUCAUGCCAAUGGCACUGCCCGGUAGCUAAAUGCGGAAGAGAUAAGUGCUGAAAGCAUCUAAGCACGAAACUUGCCCCGAGAUGAGUUCUCCCUGAGACUUUAGGUCUCCUGAAGGAACGUUGAAGACGACGACGUUGAUAGGCCGGGUGUGUAAGCGCAGCGAUGCGUUGAGCUAACCGGUACUAAUGAACCGUGAGGCUUAACCUUACAACGCCGAAG
rnacentral:rRNA from 1 species